CAGUCGCCACGGGAAUACGAAGGGGGCUAGCGUUGCUCGGAAUCACUGGGCGUAAAGGGUGCGUAGGCGGGUCUUUAAGUCAGGGGUGAAUUCCUGGAGCUCAACUCCAGAACUGCCUUUGAUACUGAAGAUCUUGAGUUCGGGGGAGGUGAGUGGAACUGCGAGUGUAGAGGUGAAAUUCGUAGAUAUUCGCAAGAACACCAGUGGCGAAGGCGGCUCACUGGCCCGAUACUGACGCUGAGGCACGAAAGCGUGGGGAGCAAACAGGAUUAGAUACCCCUGUAGUCCCUGUCUCUUAUAC
rnacentral:rRNA from 1 species